AACGAUUUGGAAGUGCGCAGUUAAAAAAAAUUGUGAGAAUAAAAUUAAAUUCAAUUGCAAAACAAAAUAACAAUGAGUAGAAAAAAAGUUAAAAGAGAAAGUGCGCAAAUAGUGAAUUUCAUGUUUGCGCGGGGUGAAGAUAACCUGCCGGAACUCGGAGCUACAGCCCUUCAAGACGAAUUUAUUAGUGGUGAAAACUCGGUGGCUUCUUUUUCGUGUCUUGAAGACAGCAAUGAAGACAGCGAAACUGAUAACUGUGACUCCGAUGACUCUGGAUCUAAUUCUAUAUGCGGGCUCCGCGAGAAAUUGACGAAUUGGACAAUUAAGCAUAACGUCACGAAUACUGCGACAGACGACUUACUUAAGGUCUUCCAGGUCUUCCUUUAUGUGCUAGGACGUUAAAAAAUACUCCCAAAGAAACACAGAGAAUAGCAAUGGGCACGGGGGAGUACAUACAUUAUGGAGUUGAAGAUGCUCUGACGGAUUUUCUACUACAAAAUCAUUUUACUGCAAAUAGUUUAAAUUUAAACAUUAAUGUUGACGGGCUUCCUCUAACCAAAAGCUCGAGUCUUCAGAUAUGGCCAAUUUUGAUAAACGUUGAUGGAUCAGAUGACGUUAGAGUUGUAGGAGCUUACAGCGGAAACAGUAAAUCAUCCAAUGCUAAUGAAUUCCUUGAAAAAUUUGUGGACGAAUUGAAGGCUUUAAAUGAAAAUGGCUUAUUUUUUUAAGGAAAAGCAUUACACUGUUGCAUGUCGAGCAUUUAUAUGCGAUGCACCUGCAAGAGCAUUUGGUUUAGGUAUAAAAGGUCAUUCUGGCUAUAAUAGUUAUUUAAAGUGUACUCAAAGAGGUAAAUCAAAAUACCACAAGAUUAUUUUUGCAAAAGAAAAUAAUGCUGAUAGGACGUUAAUAUGGAUCAAACAGCUAUAGGAAGACUACCAAUUGAUAUAGUGAAGUCAUUCGGGCAUAUAGUUUGUCUGGGAGUGACAAAGACUUUGUUACUGGCGUGGAUAAAAAAAGAGAAAUAAGCCCUACUCUCUUCGACUUGACAAAAUUCAGUUACUGGACUCCAAACUUAGUUUUUUAUAUAAUCAAAUUCCAAAGGACUUUGCCAGGCGGCCUCGAUCCUUAAAAUAUGUUGAACGUUUUAAAGCUACAUAAUUCAGAGCAUUUUUGCUUUACACAGGCAUAUUUAUAUUAAAAGAUGUUUUGGAUCCAAUUAGGUAUACUCAUUUUUUGCUUUUUAGUUUAGGAAUUAGAAUUCUUUUAAGUCCGAAACACUACAUUAAAUAUAAUAAUUGUGCAAAUGUAAUGUUAAACAAGUUUUAUAGAAAAUAUGUCCGAGUGUUAUGUAGAAUCAUUCUUGACUUUCAACUUCCACUGUUCGACACAUUUGACUAGUGAUACCUUACAUUUCGGUUGUUUAGAUACUUUUAGUGCGUUUAAAUUUGAGAAUUAUUUGUCGAAAUUAAAACGAAAAAUAAGAAAGCAUGAUCAUGUUGCUGCACAGGCGUACAACCGAUUAGUCAAAGAUAGCUUAAACCGACAGAAGCAUUCCACUUCAAUAAAUGAACUACAAAGAGGACGUUUUAGUAAUGGAACUUUUUCCUUUUUAAGGACAUCCAAUUUUUUUUCUCACCAAAAGAACCUGACAACUUCUACAUCGUUGAAAACAGAAUAUAUAAGAUAGUAACUAUCCAGGGAAACCAUAAUAUUAAUUUUGAAGUUGUAGAUGUUUUGAAUUUACAAAACUUUUUUAAUACGCCCAUACAAUCUGGUAAUCUUAAUAUUAAAUGUUGUAAUGUAUUAAAUUUUUCCACGACCAAAGUCCAACCUUCAUUAGAGGAAAUAUCCGAAAAAAUUAUUAAGUUCCAAAAUUUUGAAGGCAAUAUUAAUUUCUUCAUUCCUUUCCUAUAUUCAUCUUCGAUUUAAAAAGACCAACUUAAGUAAUACAACAACAUAAUACAUACAAAAGUAAUACAGACAUGGAAAUGAACAUGGACUUAAAUAGUAUAUAUGAUAACACGUCGGAUAAUACACCGAUCACCAAGAGAGAUCUCAAAAACUUGGAACAAAAAAUGUUAGAUGAAUUGAAAAAACAGAGAGAAAAAUAUUGUCUGAAUUAAAUCACAACCAAAAAUCGGUGAGGAAGACUCUUACUCGCAUUUUGGAAGAAACGAAAGUAAGAAGUCAGAACCAUACAGAAAGGAAAGUGGCCACCAGUCUUCAAAAAAAAAACCGUAUACCAGUCUAGAUGAAUUCAAAGCAUUUGAAAAAGAAAUUCAAGAACAUCACUCUAAAUUUAAUAGCCUGGUGGCUGACUUAUCAUUAGUGUUUUCACAAUCUGCGGAAAAGUAUGUAAAGGCUGCCUGGCGAAAAAUAUUAUCGGAUGAAGCCGCUCAGCAUUUAUCUUGGAAGGGCACAGAAACCAAAAUGUCAGCUAGAUCACUAAGCUCAUUUUCGAAAAAAUAUCCACAUUGUUCGGACAGCAAAUUCGAAAGGACUAGUAUUUCCUUUUUUCAACAUGCGGAAACUCGUUUUUUCAAAAAAAAAAAAAAUACAAAACCAGCAAGACUAUGUAAUAUGUAAACAAAUACUUUUACUUUUAUGAAAUGCAACUUUUUAGUUUUAAAUGUUACUUAAGUUAACUGCUUUAUUAUGUUAUGAAGAAUUUAUUUUAAAUGUUAAAUGAACUAGUAUUUUCUUUUUCCA